CGCGUAGGCGGCCUGCUAAGUCGAACGUGAAAUCCCUGGGCUCAACCCAGGAACUGCGUCCGAUACUGGUUGGCUUGAAUCCGGGAGGGGGAUGUGGAAUUCCAGGUGUAGCGGUGAAAUGCGUAGAUAUCUGGAGGAACACCGGUGGCGAAGGCGACAUCCUGGACCGGCAUUGACGCUGAGGCGCGAAAGCCAGGGAGCAAACG
rnacentral:rRNA from 1 species